rnacentral:lncRNA from 1 species
GCGCGGAGUUCACAUUACCCGGUAUCCUCCCCGAGAACCUAUUCUCCCCUAAAUUAAUUCUGAUUAAAUUCGGAAGCGUAAAUAAAAACGACGGAAUCUCGCCGGAGAAGGCGUUGCCUUGGAGAUACAAGUAACGGAGGAGGACGAGGUUGGAGAAGUCGGACGGGAUCGGACCGGAGAGGGAGUUGAACCGGAGGGAGAGAGUCUGGAGCUGAGUCAAGUUCCCGAUUGAUCCGAGUGGUAAGGAUCCGAAUAUGCCGGUUCCGGGUAACCGGAGGGAAGUGACCCGACCCGCGACGCAGUUGACUCCGUGCCAGCUGCAAGGAGAGGAGGCGGUCGUGUUCCAUAGGAGCGUACGGCCGCGGACGCUGCUGCGGAGGGUGAGUAAGGCUCGACGGUCGGAGUCGAGAUCGGAAGUAACCGCCGCGAGGUAGAGGAGGAAGAUGAGGGAGAGGAAGGAGAUGGAUCGGUUCAUCUUCCUCUCUGAGUUGUGUUUUUAAUUAUUGGUGCUUCUUUGUUUUGUUUUUUUUUUCGGUGAAUAUAUUUUGGAUUUUGAGAGAUUUUUUGGGAUUUUGUACCUUUUUGGGUAACGCGUAAAGAAGAGUAUGAACAGAGAGAGAGAGGAGACGGAUGGUGGAAUUCAAGAAGAGGCUUUUCACAUUAGUUUCAGCUCUAUCUCUCUAGAACCGGCCACAGAAAAAAGAAAGAUAUCAUAAUGGUACAAGAAGAAGAAGAAGAUGGAGAAUUUUUCAUUUCUGACAAUAAAUUAAAUGAAAAUCUUGAACCAUAUAGGUUGAAAUUUUCUUUUUAGUAUUUUUUGACAGGCUCUCAUAGUAUAAAUGAUCUAAUAUUUUAGUAGAUUUAAUAUUUUAAUUAUAAAUUUAAAAUAAUAUUUAAACAUGGUAAUGUUAAUGCUGAUGAGUUUUUCUAAAGAGUAAGUAUCUCAAGGUCAUGAAUAGUUGUAACGAUAAAUAUGACAGCUAUGUUAUAGAAAUAACUAAAUCUUCAAAAAAUCUAAUAACAAGGUCAUGAAUAGUUGUAACGAUCAAAAUAUAGUCAACUAGACAUCGCAUUACAUGAAUGGUGGUAAUAAAUACCUUUUUUAAUCAUAAUUACUACGGGCUGCAGUGAUGUUUCGUAGACGUUUAAAAGUUAAUCAACAACUGUUUUUCGAAAGUUGUUUGUGUUGUUCAGGUUAGUGUGACCAAAAACAAAGCUAGAUUUGUGAAUUUAAGUCUUAGGCAAACCGUUGACAAAAAAGAACCCAAUACAAUAGUGUCGAGCCACCGUUUUUAAUUAUUUUAUGAAAUUUGUCAGCUAAUUUUUUUUCUAAACAAUCCUAUCCGUGGCAUUGACCAUUUCGGAAAUAGAAAUGGUCAUCAUAAAGCUAACUAGUGGUUGGUGUAGACUAGUAUAUAGAAUGUUGGACUUUGAAAAUUUCAAUGGUUGGAAAUUCUUGUUUGCCAAAUCGAUUAUAUUUUCAACCCUGGUUACCUCAUAUGUUUGAUACCACUUAUUUGGAAAACGUAUAAAAUACACUUGCAUGUUAUUACUUUCUUGAGUGUAGUAUCAAACAAAACAACAUGUGAUUAGUUAAGUUGGUCACAUGAAAUCUUCUUCAAAAAUUUCAUGUUGCAAUAUGUUUAUUUCUUAGACAAUAGAGACAUACAAUUUUGACUUUGAAUAUACAGUAAGUUGUGUCAAGUCGUUAUUGCAUGGAUAAGUUUAAGGCCACUAUAUAACGAGAGAACGAACUAGGCCCAAUCUUUAUGUAUUAAAUAUGACUUCGCAUACGAGCAUUGUUAACAACUUAGAAAUAAUUGAAAGUGGAAUAUGAAAAUCUAACGCUGAACCGGUAAUAAGAAGGAAGAUUUCUAAACCAGAUCUUAACCGGUUAUACAUUUAUCAAAUUAUUCACCUGAUCCACCAAAAGAAUAUUACAACAAUGGCUAUCAGAUCAAGAUCAGUUGUGUAAUCACCUCCUCUAUACAUUAUUAUUAAUAUAAAUGCUUCAGAUUAAAACGUAAAAAAAAACGAGAAUUUACAGAUUUCUCUAUGAAAAAUCAAAGCUUGUUUUAAGCUCUCUUCUUCACUCACUGCUGCUGUGUAUCAAUGGGAGUGUCUUGACCAGAGGUUGUUGUUGUUGCUUGUCUUGUUUCAGACACUGAGACUCUUCUGGAAUGUCCACCUGAUGUUUCCACAACCUCGUCCGUCUCUGAAGCUGUGUUGUCGUACGCGAAUACUUCCAUUGGGUGAUUAAAUUUACAGCUUGGACCAAACUUGCAGAUCCCAUAGCGACUAUAGAACACACACACCGGUUCUCCCUAUAUCCAAAACAAAACAAAAAAACCUAUUAGAACCAACCAAAUUCAAUUGAACAUGCUUUUUGUUGAGCAGCUUACAGGGCGUAAAGGGAGGCCAAUGGGACUCAAGAGACAAUCAGGAGAAGGAGGUUGUCUAUCUCUAGGAUGAUGAAACUUGCAAACUGUGCCAAACUUGCAGUCUCCUGUCUUCAUGUAGAACUGGCAUUCAGGUUGUCCUGGUCUCUCCGGGAAAACAUUCUCACUAGUAGGGAUGUUAACAUGGGUAGUUACCCAUGGGUUUACCCAAACCCAGAUUAGGAUGACUCAUCGAUCCCAAAACCUGCAUCCUCUCUCUAAAAUCUUUCUCAGGCACCACAACGUCUCUCAACCGCUUCACAGCAACCACCAAACCAUGAUCAAAGCUCGCCUUAUACGAAGACCCAACAGAUCCUUUCCCAAGAACCUCAGCCGAAGCCUUCAACAACCCGUCCAAAUCGAAUUCCCCGAAAGACUUCACGAAAAAGAUCAAAUCUUUACUCACCACACCGCUCUCCGCCGCCGCCGCCGUUUCCUUCGGUAUAACUACGGCGGUGGAGGAAGUCGUAGCGGCGGCGACGGGAGCUGCUUCGACGUUUCUCGGCGGAGCAUUCUCCUCCGUCUUUCUCUUCCUACAGAGACAGAACAGAACCAAGAGAAGCAGUAACAAACCGACAACGCACCCGAUCACAAUUCCGACGAUAGCUCCCGUUGAUAACCCGUCACUGUCUUUAGACGGCGGAGAAACGGCGCAAGACUGUAACGGCUUCCCACAGAGACUGUUCCCUUCGAAAACGGUUACGGGAAAGCCCGACAGCGAAUCCGGAAUCGAACCGUUUAACUGAUUGGAAGAAACAUUAAACUGCUGGAGAGUGAUGCUGAUCUCGGGGAUCGAACCCGUGAGCUGGUUCCUCUCCAAGUAGAGCGUAACCAACCGGGGCGCGGAGUUCACAUUACCCGGUAUCCUCCCCGAGAACCUAUUCUCCCCUAAAUUAAUUCUGAUUAAAUUCGGAAGCGUAAAUAAAAACGACGGAAUCUCGCCGGAGAAGGCGUUGCCUUGGAGAUACAAGUAACGGAGGAGGACGAGGUUGGAGAAGUCGGACGGGAUCGGACCGGAGAGGGAGUUGAACCGGAGGGAGAGAGUCUGGAGCUGAGUCAAGUUCCCGAUUGAUCCGAGUGGUAAGGAUCCGAAUAUGCCGGUUCCGGGUAACCGGAGGGAAGUGACCCGACCCGCGAC